ACACCUCAACUCUCAUGGUUUGCCAUGAUGAGCUUGGACUUUGGGGGUCUUGCUGGCCUAGCGUCGGCUCCUCUCAAAUGGAUCAGCCUGCCAGUGUUUGGUGGCAUCACAGGUGUGAUAACUAUCUACGCUUGUGGUUCUCUGCCAUGUAACCUUCAGUGAUGGAGGUUUGCUGGAGGCUCACAGAUGUCUCUCCUUGAGGAGGACAGCUUUUUGAAC
rnacentral:misc_RNA from 1 species